UACGGGGGGGGCAAGCGUUGUUCGGAAUUACUGGGCGUAAAGGGCUCGUAGGCGGCCAACUAAGUCAGACGUGAAAUCCCUCAGCUUAACUGGGGAACUGCGUCUGAUACUGGAUGGCUUGGAUUCGGGAGAGGAAUGCGGAAUUCCAGGUGUAGCGGUGAAAUGCGUAGAUAUCUGGAGGAACACCGGUGGCGAAGGCGGCAUUCUGGACCGAUAUUGACGCUGAGGAGCGAAAGCUAGGGGAGCAAACGGG
rnacentral:rRNA from 1 species